GAUUUCUGGCUUGACACAUUUUGCCGGCCGCGGUUUCGCGUGCUAGUGCUUGAUGUUCUGGCCAUCCUUCCAAUCGCUAUUCUACUAUUCUUCAUUGGAUGGUAGGUGGUAUUGGAUCUUUUACUUUGAAAAAAUUAGAGUGUUUCAAGCAGGCUUUAUGCUAUGAAUACAUUAGCAUGGAAUAAUAAUUUAGGACUUCGGUUCUAUUUUGUUGGUUUCUAGGACUGAAGUAAUGAUUGAUAGGGAUAGUUGGGGGUGCUAGUAUUCAGCGGCCAGAGGUGAAAUUCUCGGAUUCGCUGAAGACUAACUUAUGCGAAAGCAUU
rnacentral:rRNA from 1 species